rnacentral:rRNA from 1 species
UACGUAGGUGGCAAGCGUUGUCCGGAUUUACUGGGCGUAAAGGGCGUGCAGGCGGUCUGUUAAGUCUAGGGUGAAAGCUCCCGGCUCAACUGGGGGAGGUCCUUGGAUACUGGCGGACUUGAGGGAUGCAGAGGAAAGUGGAAUUCCCGGUGUAGUGGUGAAAUGCGUAGAGAUCAGGAAGAACACCGGUGGCGAAGGCGCUCUGCUAGGCCGCAACUGACACUGAGGGACGAAAGCUAGGGGAGCGAAUGGG